GAUGAAGAACGUAGCGAAAUGCGAUAAGUAGUGUGAAUUGCAGAAUUCAGUGAAUCAUCGAAUCUUUGAACGCACAUUGCGCCUCCUGGUAUUCCGGGAGGCAUGCCUGUUCGAGCGUCAUUAAAAUCACUCAAGCUUAGGUUUGCCUAUUGCUUGGUCUUGAAGAUGGAAGCUAAGUAAUUAGAAUCCUCUUCGAAAUCCAAUGGCGAAGACCCUUGCUCUCCCAAGUGUAGUAAUAACUUAUUCACUGAAGGAAGCGAGUAAUCUUCCGCCGUAACCCCCAUAUUUUCUAUGAUUGACCUCGGAUCAGGUAGGGAUACCCGCUGAACUUAAGCAUAUCAAUAAGCGGACGA
rnacentral:misc_RNA from 1 species